rnacentral:rRNA from 1 species
UACAGAGGUCUCAAGCGUUGUUCGGAUUCAUUGGGCGUAAAGGGCGCGUAGGCGGCUGGGGAAGUCUGUGGUGAAAGCUCGCGGCUCAACUGCGAGUCGGCCACGGAGACUCCUCGGCUCGAGCACUGUAGAGGCAGGUGGAAUUCCGGGUGUAGCGGUGGAAUGCGUAGAGAUCCGGAAGAACACCGGUGGCGAAGGCGGCCUGCUGGGCAGUAGCUGACGCUGAGGCGCGACAGCGUGGGGAGCAAACAGG